GCAAAAGAGCAAACCAUUGGAUAAACUCAACAGGUCAAGCAAAAUCUGUGCAGAUGUGAAUUCCAAAACCAAGGUCAGCAUUGAUAAAUUGGGCCUGGAUCUGUGUUGUAUAAUUCAAUGACUCAAUAAGAUUUGAUGCUUCAGUCUGCUCUCCAUUGGAAAGAAAGCCCGCAUCCCAUUAGAUGUCCUGCCCAACUUGCUGAGUUCCUUCAACAUCUAAUGGAAAAUUAUUUCUCCAGGAGGUCUGCAAAGAGGCCACAGUAAUUUUCAAGAAUUAUAAAGAAGCAUAUGUGACAGGAGAUUUCCGGCAAGGAAGAUACCAGAUUUGGUACCUUCCACAGUCUAUUCGACCUACUACCAUCUGGGAGACAGUACUGCAGCAUAAAAGCCAGGACCAACAGGCUCCAGGUCAACUUCUUCCACCAGGCCAUCA